CAACAGGGAUUGCCCUAGUAACGGCGAGUGAAGCGGCAACAGCUCAAAUUUGAAAUCUGGCCUCGGCCCGAGUUGUAAUUUGCAGAGGAUGUUUCUGGCGCGGUGCCUUCCGAGUUCCCUGGAACGGGACGCCACAGAGGGUGAGAGCCCCGUAUGGUUGGACACCAAGCCUGUGUGAAACUCCUUCGACGAGUCGAGUAGUUUGGGAAUGCUGCUCUAAAUGGGAGGUAAAUCUCUUCUAAAGCUAAAUACCGGCCAGAGACCGAUAGCGCACAAGUAGAGUGAUCGAAAGAUGAAAAGCACCUUGAAAAGGGGGUUAAACAGUACGUGAAAUUGUUGAAAGGGAAGCGCUCAUGACCAGACUUGUGCCGGGCGGUUCAUCCGGGGUUCUCCCCGGUGCACUCCGCCCGGUUCAGGCCAGCAUCGGUUCUCGUUGGGGGAUAAGAACGGUAGGAACGUGGCCCUCCCUCGGGAGGGUGUUAUAGCCUGCCGUACGAUACCCUGACGGGGACCGAGGUUCGCGCUCCGCAAGGAUGCUGGCGUAAUGGUCAUCAGCGACCCGUCUUGAAACACGGACCAAGGAGUCGUCCAUUAGAGCGAGCGUUUGGGUGUAAAACCCGCACGCGUAAUGAAAGUGAAAUUAGGUGAGAGCUUCGGCGCAUCAUCGACCGAUCCUGAUGUUCUCGGAUGGAUUUGAGUAAGAGUUUUAACGGACGGACCCGAAAGACAGUGAACUAUGCUUGUAUAGGGUGAAGCCAGAGGAAACUCUGGUGGAGGCUCGCAGCGGUUCUGACGUGCAAAUCGAUCGUCAAAUAUGAGCAUGGGGGCGAAAGACUAAUCGAACUGUCUAGUA
rnacentral:rRNA from 1 species